CGCGGAUGAAAACUGCCCUGAGUACACUGAGCAGUGGCUGCUGACUCAUGUGUGCUCCUUGUCCUGGGUAGCAGUCCCCACGUUGCCAAGACAGCCUCUCUUUCAAUGUUUUGUCACCUCCACAGCUAAAUGAAAACAGGCAGUCACUUUUUAAGCACGCUACGGAAAGGUGUCUGAAGGUCCAAUAGACGUCAUUUGUAUUUUGAUGAGGGCUCAAAAAGGUAUUCUUUCUUUCAUUUGGCAAAAAGUAAAUUGUCAAAGACCACUCUGCAAGUCAGUUUAAUUAUGUAGCGCCUAUGCACGACCCUUAACAAGGCUGGAUUUAGCUGGUGGACAGAAACGCUGCAACUUUGCCACAGAAGGUUUCUUUCGCAAUGAGGAAACUGAAGUGUCCUCGCAGCUGAGCUCCUCCAAUCUUCAGAAAGUUCCUGACCCUCCUCCCUUUCCCUUUGCGUUACAGUACAGACUUACUGAGUUGUAGGGUGGGAUGACGGAUGCGUACUGCAAAUGGAAAUGGAAGUAUGGCACAGAGCUGGACAACUGCCUGGAUGGGGGAGCAGAAAGCCCUGUCCUCUUCCACAUUUGAAAGGCUGAGAAGAAGCAGCAAAUGUUUCUCUCUUCUGAAAAUCCAACUUGUACAUUUUCUGUUCUCACAUAGGCUGAGGGUAGCAUUUUUCCUUUACAUUUGUUCAGAAUUGCUUUCUCAUCUUGGGAGAUUAAUAUCAGCAGUCAAGAUGGUAGUUUUGUAUACGCAACUCUACCUUCUUCACUCAGUGCAUAACCUCAACACUCUAUUGAUUUCCAGGGUUUUGGAGCGCUGUCUGCACCGUCCGUGUGAUACAUAUAUAUAGCACGGGUGGUUUGUUGGUUUUGGUUUUUUUUUUAAUUUAAACAUUCAUGUUUACAGGUAAUUUUCCAGUAGCCAGAAAACGCGGUAAAAGUAGAAGUGUGAAACAGUUUAAGAUGUUAGAAAGUAUGGUGCCAAAUUCUAGAAAAGUUUCUCGGAAUCAGCACAUCUGGCCAGGAAACACCCCCAGCAGCCCUGCCUGCAACCAACGCUUGGUUAGCUUUUCAAAAGAGGGGGAGGUUAAGAGGUUUCAUUUUAGUGUUUUAAUGCCGCAGCAGAUUGCAGCGCCUUACCGUAAUCAAACCUUAAAACUGAUUAAUUCUGAAGAUGUGCUACAGGGUGUGCUGUUUUAUAAAAGGAAGGAAAAAAAAAGGGGGGGGGGAUAUUACCAGUUUAUUAUCUGCAUGAUGAUUGAGGACUUCCCUCAGUUGAGUGCUUGCUAAUUUGCAAGACAAAAAAAAAAGAAUAAUGACUUUCAACACACAGCGAGUUAAGUCCUAGUGGAAACCCAUAGCUGAGACUUCUCUGUGAAUGUUUGCAUUUAGCUGGGUCUGUACUUUCAUAGCAGAGAAGUGCUACUACUCAGAUUUUCAAGGCAGUCUGUGAAGUAGAGUGGGAUUUUCACAUGUGAAUCUCUACACUAUUUUGAGAACUUAAGAGGAAGUACAGGUGCAAAUAAAUAGAGCUUAUGUUAAUAUAAACUCUAGCUAAAAGUUAAAGAACCGAUACAAAAUAAUCUAAUUAGAAGUCAUAAAUCAAAUAAAUGCCUGUUAUCUAGUGUUUAAACGUUCAGCAAAAAGCAGAACUGUGUGAUUUCUUAAUGACUUUUAAAUAGCAUGCACAAAAACUCAUACCUUGCUGGUGUCAUUCACUGCCUUACAUUAAAAUAAAACUAAUCAUGUGGGAAACAACCACUUGAUCCUACUCUCAGAUCCCUGCUCGGCACUCUAAGAUCAAACCAAGGAGGCAUUGCUCACUGCUCUUUCAAGGAAUUCCUUCUCAGAAUCAAAGCUGGCACCUGAUGGCAGAAAAUCACUGAGGUUAAAGACCCAAG
ensembl:lncRNA